UUAAAUUGAAGAGUUUGAUCAUGGCUCAGAUUGAACGCUGGCGGCAGGCCUAACACAUGCAAGUCGGACGGUAGCACAGAGGAGCU
rnacentral:rRNA from 1 species